rnacentral:sRNA from 1 species
GCCCUCCCCCACGCUUCAGGUUCAUGCCCUCCCCCAGGCUGCAGGUGCGUGCCCUCCCCCAGGCUGCAGGUGCGUGCCCUCUCCCAGGCUGCAGGUGCAUAUCCUCCCCCAGGCUGCAGGUGCAUGCCCUCUGCCAGGCUGCAGGUUCAUGCCCUCCCCCAGGCUGCAGGUGCAUGCCCUCUCCCAGGCUGCAGGUGCAUAUCCUCCCCCAGGCUGCAGGUUCGUGCCCUCCCCCAGGCUGCAGGUUCAUGCCCUCCCCCAGGCUGCAGGUGCAUGCCCUCUCCCAGGCUGCAGGUGCAUAUCCUCCCCCAGGCUGCAGGUUCAUGUCCUCUCCCAGGCUGCAGGUGCAUAUCCUCCCCCAGGCUGCAGGUUCAUGCCCUCCCCCAGGCUGCAGGUGCGUGCCCUCUCCCAGGCUGCAGGUGCAUAUCCUCCCCCAGGCUGCAGGUGCAUGCCCUCUCCCAGGCUGCAGGUUCAUGCCCUCCCCCAGGCUGCAGGUGCGUGCCCUCCCCCAGGCUGCAGGUUUGUGUCCUCCCCCAGGCUGCAGGUGCAUGCCCUCUCCCAGGCUGCAGGUUCAUGCCCUCCCCCAGGCUGCAGGUAGGCUACACUGGGACUCUGAUCUAGAAAUGCCCUCCAACACUUCAUAUUGACUGAAUUUGGGGGGGCAUUUGAGGUAAGGUAGAGGUCAGAAAGGUGACUGCUCUUUCUAACAAUGUGUAGGUGACUACUACCCUCCUUCCAGUGUUCCCCCACAUCCUACCUUACUUCCAGUAUGUCACCUGCUGCUCACUCAUCAGCAUACUCUCUGCACUUGAUCUUAGCCAAAAGGCCGAGAAGCGAUCAGCAUACUCUCUGAAAACUUGUCUGUGGGAGCCUAGUGCCU